rnacentral:rRNA from 1 species
GACGAACGCUGGCGGCGUGCUUAACACAUGCAAGUCGAACGAUGACGACCGAGCUUUCUCGGUCUGAUUAGUGGCGAACGGGGGAGUAACACGUGAGCAACCUGCCCUUCACUCUGGGAUAACCCCGGGAAAUCGGGGCUAAUACCGGAUAUGAGCUCCUGUCGCAUGGCGGGCGUUGGAAAGAGUUUCGGUGAUGGAUGGGCUCGCGGCCUAUCGGUUUGUUGGUGAGGUAGUGGCUCGCCAAGGCUAAGCAGGGUAGCCGGCCUGAGAGGGCGACCGGGCACACUGGGCCUGCGACACGGCCCAGACUCCUACGGGAGGCAGCAGUGGGGAAUAUUGCACAAUGGGCGCAAGCCUGAUGCAGCGACGCCGCGUGAGGGAUGACGGCCUUCGGGUUGUAAACAUCUUUCAGCAGGGAAGAAGCGAAAGUGACGGUACCUGCAGAAGAAGCGCCGGCUAACUACGUG